UCAGCUGUUGUCUGCCUGCAGCUGAGUUGAAGACUUAACACUUUUCACCACAGACUGCUAUUUUAAGGGUUGUCAAAAGCACUGGGGAAGCGACAAAGGGUAACCUCACACUUCAGCUGUGGUGCCAGCACAGGAUGUCUGCAGGAUGCAGUGCUGCUUGGCAUGUGUGUGUGCAAGUGCUUUGCUGUAUAACAUCAGUUUUCACAGAG